GUGGAUUAGAUACCCUGGUAGUCCACGCCGUAAACGAUGAGCACUAGUUGUUGGGUCCGAACGGAUUCAGUGACGCAGUUAACGCAAUAAGUGCUCCGCCUGGGGAGUACGGUGGCAACACUAAAACUCAAAGGAAUUGACGGGGACCCGCACAAGCAGCGGAGCAUGUGGUUUAAUUCGAAGCAACGCGAAAAACCUUACCAGGGCUUGACAUCCCUCUGACCGGCACUUAACCGUGCCUUUCUUCGGACAGAGGUGACAGGUGGUGCACGGCCGUCGUCAGCU
rnacentral:rRNA from 1 species